CAGGUGUCACUCGUCACUCACUCACUCACUCUCUCUCUCUCUCUCUCUCUCUCUCUCUCAGAUCCCUAAUUUCGUUUUCUCUCGCAAAUGCAAUGGUUCUUCGCUAGAUUGCUUCUGAUCCGUUGCCGCCUCAUCUCUCCUCGAUUCUCCGUUUCGCGGCGACUCUCCGGUAACGAUUCCGAUCAGGCUUUUGAUCACUUCCCUGAAUUUUUUGGAUGGCAUUACAUUGGAUGAUUUUCGGCAUGCAUAUGCUUUAGGCAUUCUUGCUUAUAUUUUUCUCUGAGCUAGGGGACAAAACCUUUUUUUAUUGCGGUAAGGGAGAAUUUAUCAAAUUUUUCAUGGAAUGUAUCUGAUCAUGAAUGUUUCAAAUCAGACUCUGUGAAUUAAUUGAAUGAACAUGCUUGUGUAUAUUGUGUAUGUUGGUGGACAAUUUACUUUCCCCUAAAAAAACUUUAAUCCCUAAAUCUUAGCAUGAGAUCAA